GCAUGCGAUCAUACCAGCACUAAAGCACCGGAUCCCAUCAGAACUCCGAAGUUAAGCGCACUUGGGCGAUAGUAGUACUAGGAUGGGUUACCUCCUGGGAAGUCCUCGUGUUGCAUUCC
rfam:Triticum aestivum genome assembly, contig: Triticum_aestivum_CS42_TGACv1_scaffold_052132_1BS